rnacentral:rRNA from 1 species
AUACGUAGGGGGCGAGCGUUGUCCGGAAUGAUUGGGCGUAAAGGGCGCGUAGGCGGCUUUGCAAGUCAGUAGUGGAAGUCCAUUUUUCAAGGAUGGAAGUGCUACAGAAACUGCGGAGCUUGAGUGCAGGAGAGGUUAUCGGAAUUCCCGGUGUAGCGGUGAAAUGCGUAGAGAUCGGGAGGAACACCAGUGGCGAAGGCGGGUAACUGGACUGCAACUGACGCUGAGGUACGAAAGCGUGGGGAGCAAACAGGAUUAGAUACCCUGGUAGUCCACGCCGUAAACGAUGAGUGCUAGGUGUUGGGGGUCAAACCUCGGUGCCGCAGUUAACACAUUAAGCACUCCGCCUGGGGAGUACGUGCGCAAGCAUGAAACUCAAAGGAAUUGACGGGG